CACCACGUAUAUCUCAUCGUUGUUUAUCAGAUGAGAAACUCAAGAAACUGGAAGAGGAAAAGGGAGUCGUCAUUCGAUUUAUGAUUGGGCAUAGAUCAAAAGCCAAGGAUUUGUUGGGUGAUAGCUUGAUUCUAAGGCAUUAAUAGAUUUACAACACUUCCAAAAAUUUACUGGCAUUUUGUAUUAUAUUUAUUCAAGUCGCUGAUUGAUUCUUGACCAUCA